UGAAAGUAACCUCAAUAAACUCACUGGUUCACUAAGCUCAACUUGAAUGGAAUCAUGUUUUAUUCUGUUGUUUGUUCCUUGUCUCUGGUUCUGAACAGUUUCAAAUUCUUGAUUUACGGGUUCAUUUUUGGAUCAUGGCAGCCUCCCUGCUGCAACCCCCAUAGUUUCCCUUCAAUAAACAAGGCCGGAUGAGAUCACAGCUGAGGAAGCCUGAUGGAGUACAGGUGCCUGAAGAGGCCAGAAGAGGGCAUCGGAUUCCCUGGAAUGAGAGUCACAGGCUAUUGUGAGCAACCUGAUGUGGAUCCCGGGUCACAAACUCAGGUUUUAGUCCACGAUUGAGGCUGCUGGCCUGUGGUGGCACAGUACAACGUGGAAGAAGCUCAAGGUAGCGGCUUGAGGAAGAGGAGGCCUGUGUACCUCCGGGUACCCGGGAACUAAAAAGCCAAG
rnacentral:lncRNA from 1 species